rnacentral:rRNA from 1 species
GAUGAACGCUGUCUACAGGCUUAACACAUGCAAGUCGAGGGGAAACGACGGGGAAGCUUGCUUCCCCGGGCGUCGACCGGCGCACGGGUAAGUAACGCGUAUCCAACCUGCCUCUGACUGAGGGAUAACCCGUCGAAAGUCGGCCUAAUACCUCAUGGCAUCGUCUGCGGGCAUCCAACGACGAUUAAAGAUUUCAUCGGUCAGGGAUGGGGAUGCGUCUGAUUAGCUUGUUGGCGGGGUAACGGCCCACCAAGGCUACGAUCAGUAGGGGUUCUGAGAGGAAGGUCCCCCACAUUGGAACUGAGACACGGUCCAAACUCCUACGGGAGGCAGCAGUGAGGAAUAUUGGUCAAUGGGCGGGAGCCUGAACCAGCCAAGUAGCGUGCAGGAUGACGGCCCUAUGGGUUGUAAACUGCUUUUAUGCGGGGAUAAAGUGAGGGACGUGUCCUUCAUUGCAGGUACCGCAUGAAUAAGGACCGGCUAAUUCCGUG